GACGAACGCUGGCGGCGUGCUUAACACAUGCAAGUCGAACGGAAAGGCCCUGCUUUUGUGGGGUGCUCGAGUGGCGAACGGGUGAGUAACACGUGAGUAACCUGCCCUUGACUUUGGGAUAACUUCAGGAAACUGGGGCUAAUACCGGAUAGGAGCUCCUGCUGCAUGGUGGGGGUUGGAAAGUUUCGGCGGUUGGGGAUGGACUCGCGGCUUAUCAGCGUGUUGGUGGGGUAGUGGCUUACCAAGGCUUUGACGGGUAGCCGGCCUGAGAGGGUGACCGGCCACAUUGGGACUGAGAUACGGCCCAGACUCCUACGGGAGGCAGCAGGGGGGAAUAUUGCACAAUGGGCGGAAGCCUGAUGCAACAACGCCGGGUGCGGGAUGAGGGCCUUCGGGUUGAAAACCGCUUUCGCCUGUGACGAAGCGUGAGUGACGGUAAUGGGUAAAGAAGCACCGGCUAACUACGUG
rnacentral:rRNA from 1 species